AAAAAAAAAAAAAAAAAUAAGUCUUUGAGAACCAAACGCCAUACACUACGUUCGUGCCGGGGUUUGCUGUUCACGUCUCGCUUCCUUCUUCUUCUUUUUCUCCUUACUUUCGCA
rnacentral:ribozyme from 1 species